rnacentral:rRNA from 1 species
UACGGAGGGAGCUAGCGUUGUUCGGAAUCACUGGGCGUAAAGCGCACGUAGGCGGCUACUCAAGUCAGAGGUGAAAGCCCGGGGCUCAACCCCGGAAUUGCCUUUGAAACUAGGUAGCUAGAAUCUUGGAGAGGCGAGUGGAAUUCCGAGUGUAGAGGUGAAAUUCGUAGAUAUUCGGAAGAACACCAGUGGCGAAGGCGACUCGCUGGACAAGUAUUGACGCUGAGGUGCGAAAGCGUGGGGAGCAAACAGG